AGUGGAUUGGAGAGAGAAAAGACAUAAAUCUAGCUAACCUGAGCUCACCACUUAUCACAUGUCCUGAUCAAUACCGCUGCUUCCUAGGAAAUUAGUACAAACUCCCUUGAUCUAUGACAUAACCCCACUUACAUCACUUUUUUUUUUGGAUUUCCUUGAUUUGAUCUCAGUCCAGGUCUGAGGCUAGUCUUCCGGAUGCCAGGAAUCAUGUGGGACAAGAGGCAAACAUCUCCUGAGAUGCCAGGGAGCGCUAUUCUUAACCCAAUCAAAGAGCUAGGUUUUGGAGUCUCACACUCUUGCAGUAAGGCAUCCUUCCCGAACCCCAGGGGUGCACCUCUUCACCCUCACAACACUAUGAGUUCUUCUAAGAAGUCCUCCUUUAAGCCAUCAAGCCCAGAGUCACAUCCAUCCUGACAGCUUGCCUGUGAACUGAGACUCAAUGUAUCGCCCUAUCAGAAGCACGAUUCCAAAAGCAGGGCUUGGGAUAAGAGCAAGCCCCGAUGUUCUCUGUUUAGCACGCUGACGCAUCACGCCAGACAUCCUGAGUCCGGUGAGACCAUGUGUGACACGUAGCCCUCUGCGCAGGGUGCCUUGGGUCAUGGUGGGCAUUAUUGUUAUAUGGUAACUUUGUCAUUGAGGGC
rnacentral:lncRNA from 1 species